GACGAACGCUGGCGGCGUGCUUAACACAUGCAAGUCGAGCGGUAAGGCCCUUUCGGGGGUACACGAGCGGCGAACGGGUGAGUAACACGUGGGUGACCUGCCCUCAGCUCUGGGAUAAGCCUGGGAAACCGGGUCUAAUACUGGAUAUGACUCCAUGACGCAUGUUGUGGGGUGGAAAGCCUUGUGCGGCUGAGGAUGGGCCCGCGGCCUAUCAGCUUGUUGGUGGGGUGANGGCCUACCAAGGCGACGACGGGUAGCCGGCCUGAGAGGGCGACCGGCCACACUGGAACUGAGACACGGUCCAGACUCCUACGGGAGGCAGCAGGUGGGGAAUUUUUCGCAAUGGGGGCAACCCUGACGAAGCAACGCCGCGUGGGGAGUGAAGGUCUUCGGAUUGUAAACCCCUGUCGACCGGGACGAAUGUAGAACGGCCUAAUACGCCGAGCUAUUGACUGUACCGGUGGAGGAAGCC
rnacentral:rRNA from 1 species